rnacentral:rRNA from 1 species
GUACCAGCCGCCGCGGUAAUACGGAGGGGGUUAGCGUUGUUCGGAAUUACUGGGCGUAAAGCGCGUGUAGGCGGACUGGAAAGUUGGGGGUGAAAUCCCGGGGCUCAACCUCGGAACUGCCCUCAAAACUAUCAGUCUAGAGUCCGAGAGAGGUGAGUGGAACUCCGAGUGUAGAGGUGAAAUUCGUAGAUAUUCGGAAGAACACCAGUGGCGAAGGCGGCUCACUGGCUCGGUACUGACGCUGAGGUGCGAAAGCGUGGGGAGCAAACAGGAUUAGAAACCCCGGUAGUCC